GCAGAGGUGGUGGAAUUGGCAGACACGAUAGUUUGAGGGACUAUUGCUCGCAAGAGUAUGAGGGUUCGAGUCCCUUCCUCUGCACCA
rnacentral:tRNA from 1 species